rnacentral:rRNA from 1 species
CCUACGGGUGGCUGCAGUGAGGAAUUUUCGGCAAUGGACGCAAGUCUGACCGAGCAACGCCGCGUGCAGGAAGACGGGUUUCGGCUUGUAAACUGCUUUUCUGGGGGACGAGUGAGGACGGUACCCCAGGAAGAAGCCCCGGCUAACUACGUGCCAGCAGCCGCGGUAAUACGUAGGGGGCGAGCGUUGUCCGGAGUUACUGGGCGUAAAGGGCACGCAGGCGGUCCGCCACGUUUGCGCUGACAGCUCCUGGCUUAACUGGGAGAGCGGUGCGAAGACGGGCGGACUUGAGGACCAGAGAGGGACAUGGAAUUCCGGGUGGAGUGGUGAAAUGCGUAGAGAUCCGGAGGAACACCAAAGGCGAAGGCAGGGUCCUGGCAAGUGACUGACGCUCAGGUGCGAAAGCCAGGGGAGCGAACGGGAUUAGAUACCCUAGUAGUCC